GCUACUUUGGUGGAAAUGGUAGACACGACACUCUUAAGAUGUGUUAUCGCAAGAUAUGAAGGUUCAAAUCCUUUAAGUAGUA
rnacentral:ncRNA from 15 species